rnacentral:pre_miRNA from 1 species
AAGCAGCACAUCAAUAUUGGCAGCUGCCCUCUCUCUGGGUUGCCAGUAUGGUUUGUGCUG